rnacentral:lncRNA from 1 species
UCUACCUUUGGGAUCUCAGUCUUAAGUUCUUUUUCCUUUAUAAUUUUAUAUAGCUUUUUAUUAACUUCUAAUAAUAAUAUUAUUAAUGUAUUAUUCUGUUUUAAUAUUAUUUGAUCAGCUUUACCUUGAGGAGUAUAGUUACUUAGUCCUUCUGGAUUGGGUUGAAUUUUUGCUGUUAAUUUUAACACUUCUUCAUAUAUAGGAUCUAAUUCUAUAUGUAUAUCACUCAUGAAAGAGCAAUUUCCUUAUUGUGUCUAUCUUUUCUUUAAGUACACUUAUCUCUCCUUUUAACACUUCUACUUGUUCAGUUAUUUUUUCUACUAAUCUAGUUGUUUGUAUUUCUAAUUUUUUAGGCUUUUCUGUAAUAGUCUUAAUUAACUUU